CGGUGCGUCUCGCUGAGGUUGGGCUGCCGCCUGCCUAGCCACACCUAGCGACGUCCUGAUUCGACCCAGCCCGACCUCUCCUCUGUCCCCGGGUGACCGCGGAGGGAGGAGGCGGGAGCUCUCGAACCGCCUUCAUCUAAAUAGCCACAUGGAUUAGGAGCCCUGUUCACCUUUUCGCAGGAACUGGAAGAAUAUGGACACUUCAGAGAUUUCGUAGCCUCUGUAGCAAGAUGACCUCCAGUGACCCCACUUCCUGAUACUCUUGUACAGCUGUCCUCUCACAUCCUGGGCCACGCUGAUCUAUGUGACUAAUCACAACACAUACAGCACAAGCCAUCACACAACAGUUCGUAGCUGAAGUUACCAAAGACCAUGUCCUUCAUCACAGGGCCACCAGGAGGUGAACAGUUUUUCUACACUGCACUUCGCCAUGGUGAAACCACGACCCAAAAUAAACAACUAGUUUAUCGCAGGAGAGCACAGAGCUCAUGUAACUGCCUCCAAAAGAUGCUUCUGUUCCUGAAAGGAAAUACUAGGAGUGCACCACUC